UUUAAUCCAAAAAAUAAAAAUGUCCCAUUUUCUAUUUUAAAAAUUGCUUUAUCACAAAUAUUACUUAUUGAAACAUUUCUUUUAUUCUCAGAAUCAGUGCUUAUUUUCAGAAUAGUAUAUCAUAAAAACAAACUUUAGCCUCCUAUCUUGAAAAAAAAAAGUAACAUAGGGAAUAAAUAAAGUCUUCCCUGUUGUGUAAUUAGUAUUUCUUCUCUUCAAUUGAUGUGACUUAGAAAUGCAUAUCUGCAUCUUUCACUUUUUUUCUGCUUUCCAGGCUUGAAUUUUCAAUUGUCUAGUGCAAUUUGUUUUCCAUCCCUGCAAACCUUACCAAAGAUAAUCUCGGGAAAUCAAUUUUAAAUCCCUCAACAUUCUGUAUAUUGUUCUUUUUGAUCGUACUUCAAGUCCAAGCAUACUGUCAAUUCACCUUCUAGACCUCAGCAUUAGCUGUAGCCUUUCACUUCACACGACAGUGUACAGUAUUCACCAGUGUGAUCAAUAUAACCUUGUGCAUCUUUUUGAAUGGCAUUAAAGCUCCAUCUCACUGUUAGUAGCAACUGAAAAACCAGUGUCACUGAACAAUAAUUUAUUAAGGUUACUCCUGUAGGUCUUUGUGUCUUCAUGCUUAGCUAGCUAAUUUUAAGUUGGUUUAAUGAAUGGGUGGAUAUAGAUACAGCUGAUAGGAUCAUAGACAGGAGGAAAACAGUCUGUGUUUCUACUGUGUUUUAUUUCUAACCAUACAGUGUUCGGUUCAAUUUUGAAUCUUCCCACUUCAUUGAGAACAACAAUAUGAGAAAAUGACAGUUUUUUCAGUAAAGACCUUCUUUCAAACCUCAAACCUUAUAAUAGAAGAAGCAUAGCUCCUGUAGUGGAAUUUUAUUAGAACCAAGCAAAGAAAGUGUCAGUAAUCAUUAACGGCAGAUACAUUAAGCACAAAAUCAGAAUAAAAACCCAUAACUUAACUAUCUACAUAAUAUAACAUUAUGAAGAUGGAAUCUGAAAGUAUGCAAAUAACAUUAAUUUUGAUGAAAGUUAAAUGAAAUUAAUGUCUUCCUGCAAUAAGCUCGGUUUACCAGUUUCUUUAACCUUGAAAUCUGACUUUGCCAGUAAAAUUACAGAACGGAUAUUUUUCAAAAAAUAAAGAGCCUAUAGACCCAUAUAUAGUAUAGCGAUUAAGAUGCCCCUUUAGAUGCUUACAUCACAUAUCAGAGUGCCUGGGUUCCAGUCUCAGCUCUACUUACUUCUGACUCCAGCAUCCUGCUGUUGUGUGUCCUGGUUAGCAACAGCAGGUGAUAGGUAGAGAAGCUGGGUCCUUGCACACACAUAGAAGAACUCAGGUUGAGUUUCUAGCUCUUGGCUUUGGCCUUACCCAGCCCUCGAUGCAGCAGACAUUGACAAGUGAAGAAGUAGAUGGGAAAUUGUCUCUCUCUCUCUCUCUCUUUCUCUCUGCCUUUCAAAUAAGUAAAAGAUAAACAGUUUUUAAUGGAAAGAAUUGUAUCUACAACUGCAAAUUAUCAAUGAAAGUAUAUUGAAUAUACAAUUAGAAAUUAGUAAAUAUUAGAAAAUAUAUAUGGAAGUAUAAGAAAUUUCAACUUUUCCCAUCCCUUAAAAGGCUAACAUAUCAAACAAGUUUUCUGUUAGUGCAAGGGUAACAUGAAUAAUUAAAAGUCAUUUAUUAAUUCUUGGUAGGAUUUUUUGGUAAAAUUUUUAGAAAUUAACAUGAUGAAUAAUCCAUAUGAUUGAAUGAUAAAUAUUUUUUAUUUUCAUUGACACAGGGGUAGAUUUAUCAUAUAGAUAAUGUCAUUUAAUUAAUGAAAUUUUUAUUUAGAACAAUAAUUGAAUGAUAUUGCUUCGUAAAACUUGUUUUCCACUUAUUCAUUUAUUGGGCCAGAUUUUCUCUGUGCUAACAUAUAAGUUUGAAACCUAGAAAAAUAAUUUUUACUGAAAUUAUGUCACUAUUGCUUGAAAAAAGGAUACAGAAACAUUAAUAGCAAAAGCUUAUUCAUUCAUUAAUUAUACAUGUUCUAAAAAGUAUCUAGGAAUGUAUGAGAUACAUUUAAUUGUAUUUAAUUUUAGAUUAUUAAAAUUGUUAUUUAUAUCAGAAGAAUUUUUUAAAUGAAAAGAUUUCCAUAUUCAGAAAAUUAUGCAAAUAUACUAUAAAUAUACUUUAAUAUUUCACAUUAUGUUUCGCAGGAGAUAUGUUUACAUACAUGCAUUUGAAGGAAUUACUUUCCUAUUAUAGAAGCCACUGGGUACCUGACAAGGGACAUUGCUGGGGAAUCUGAGCUUAACUGAGGACUGUGCGGAUCCUUUGUGUGGUCCUUGUGGCAGAACAGACGAAUAAUAUGCACACUGGGGCUGGGACCUAGGCACUGAGGAGAGGAGUUCAACUGAGUCUAAGCCAAUAGACAAGAGGAAACCUCUUAUUUUUUUAUUUAUUAAAGAGAGGUUUACCACAGCAAAUCUGGGUUUGUCAAAUCAGAAACACCCUUCACUUUGGAGCACUAAACAGAGCUCCUUGGCCACACCUACCAUGUGCCAAACCUCUAGGUAGUCCCUGAGAGCAGACAUGCCACUAAUCCACUCAGACACAGUAAAAGGUAAAAGCUGCCACAGCAG